GAUGAACGCUAGCGGAGGCUUAACACAUGCAAGUCGAGGGGCAGCAUAGGGUAGCAAUACUCUGAUGGCGACCGGCAAACGGGUGAGUAACGCGUAUGCAACCUACCCUGUACAGGGGGAUAACCCGGAGAAAUUCGGACUAAUAUCCCGUAAUAAUAUCCGGAGGCAUCUUUGGAUAUUUAAAGUUCCGACGGUACGGGAUGGGCAUGCGUAACAUUAGCUGGUUGGUAAAGUAACGGCUUACCAAGGCUAUGAUGUUUAGGGGUCCUGAGAGGGUGGUCCCCCACACUGGUACUGAGACACGGACCAGACUCCUACGGGAGGCAGCAGUGAGGAAUAUUGGUCAAUGGGCGCAAGCCUGAACCAGCCAUCCCGCGUGCAGGAAGACGGCCCUAUGGGUUGUAAACUGCUUUUCCAGGGAGAGAAACUUACGCACGUGUUGCGUGACUGACGGUACCCUGGGAAUAAGCAUCGGCUAACUCCGUGCCAGCAGCCGCGUAAACACGAGAGUA
rnacentral:rRNA from 1 species